CGCAAGGCCUUUUCUUUUUUUCGUCCCAGCGACAGCAACCGUCCCCCACCGCCACUCAUCUCCUCCGUCUCCCCCUCCCCAAUGUUCAUGGCCGCUCCUCCCUCUCCGCCUCUGCUACUCCCUUCCAUUCUGCUGCUCGCCUCUUCCCCCAUCUGCUCCCCUCCCUCUCCGCCGUGAGGCUCCUUCCCUCCCACUCCAUCCCAUUGAGAUGAACAGGCCCAUCGGCCCCCGCACCCCAGAUCUCGUCCCUCUCAAACCCUGUCGGCGUCCCAUUAAUAGAUCCACGGCGGCGGCAAGAUGCGCCCACGCGCUAGGGCUGUCCCCCAAGGCGGAUGGAGCUGGACCCCCUCGGGGCGCCCUCAGUGCGGCGGCGGAUGCUGACGGCAAGGGGGCCCCUCGGCGCGCCCUCAGUCUAGUGGCGAAUGCUGGGGGCCGGGAUCCCCUCGGCUGGACGUCGGCAAUCCGCAUGAAGGUAUCGUCCCCGUAGAUUUCAUCCUUGAUUCGGCCCCCGACUCCGUUGAGGCUGAAGCGGUUCAUGACGACGGCGAGUUGAAUAACAAUUGCAAGCUAACAGAUUGAAAAGAAAUGACACUUACCUUCAUGAUUUUCUCCAAGAGCAGCAUCGUGGACAACCGGGAGCUGGUUUAGAUCCGGUUCUACUGGAAUUAGGGAGGAAUGAAGUGGAGUGGAGUUUUGGCUUACAGAACUGUUGCAUUUAUAGAGGCAAGAGGAGCUGCUCGACAUGUGCAGGCGCAAGUUUUUGGCUCCAAAUUUUGAUUUUUGUGUUUUCGGUGCUGCCUUUUGAGAUUUGGUUACGCGCUGUGCAAAAUUUAGGCCCCAGGCUUUUUGUUUAGCCACUGUGCAGCACUAGGCUUUUCAUUUGGCGGGAGUCAUAUGGAGGGUCUGCAGUGUUCUCUCUGUAUAAUUAAUGUUUGUAAACUAAUUAAUGUUUGUUGGAUAACGAGGAAUAUAAGCUUUAAAGCAUGCUUUGUUUUC